GUUGGUGGAAUGGCCUUCUCUCCUACUUCAUCACCCGGAUACAGCCCAUCAUCACCAGGCUACAGUCCGUCAUCUCCUGGAUACAGUCCCACGUCACCUGGAUACAGCCCAACUUCGCCUGGAUACAGUCCCACCUCGCCUGGAUAUAGCCCUACCUCACCAACUUAUAGUCCAAGUUCUCCUGGUUAUAGUCCAACCAGUCCUGCCUAUUCUCCUACCAGUCCAUCGUACUCACCUACUUCACCAAGCUAUAGCCCAACCUCCCCAAGUUACAGCCCAACAUCCCCAAGCUACAGCCCGACCUCUCCAAGUUACAGCCCCACUUCUCCCAGUUACAGUCCAACUUCACCAAGCUAUAGCCCCACCUCACCGGCAUAUAGCCCCACCUCACCUGCAUAUAGCCCCACCUCACCUGCAUACAGCCCCACUUCACCAUCGUACAGCCCAACCUCUCCUUCCUACAGCCCAACAUCACCUUCGUACAGCCCUACCUCACCGUCAUACAGCCCCACUUCUCCAUCGUACAGCCCCACUUCACCAGCCUAUAGCCCCACUUCUCCUGGUUAUAGUCCAACUUCACCAAGUUAUAGCCCAACUUCACCAACCUAUAGUCCUACAUCCCCAAGCUACAAUCCUCAGUCUGCCAAAUACAGUCCGUCGCUGGCCUACUCACCAAGUAGUCCAAGAUUAUCUCCUGCCAGUCCGUACAGCCCUACAUCUCCAAAUUACAGGUAAGCCAUAGUGCGAUAUGUGGUCAAGUCUAAUGUUUGUGUUAAAAGCUGUAUCCAAUUUAUUAGGUCUUGUUUUUGAUAGAAUUCUAUAUACUGAAAUAUCUGUUGAACCUAAGACUUGCUGUAGCUGGGGAUUGGACUUGGAUGGGUUUAAAUUAUUAAUGAUUUUAUCUCUGUUGUUUUUAACAUUAUUAUAUCUGGAUGAUUAUGUUGAUGUAUCUUGUAAGCAACUUUUCUUUUUACGCAGUCCAACAUCAUCUUCGUAUUCACCGACAUCUCCCUCUAUGAUACUGGACCAAUGAUGAGAUGUUCAUUUGAAGAAACGGUUGACAUUCUUCUUGAUGCUGCAGUCUUUGCAGAAUCAGAUUAUUUGAGGGGGGUCACUGAGAAUAUAAUGUUAGGUCAGCUUGCGCCUAUUGGGACAGGAGACUGUUCAUUGUAUCUCAAUGAUGAGAUGCUGAAAAAUGCCAUCGAACUUCAGCUUCCUAGUUAUAUGGAAGGUCUGGAGUUUGGCAUGACACCUGCUCGUUCUCCGGUGUCUGGGACUCCUUAUCAUGAUGGCAUGAUGUCUCCAGGUUACUUGUUUAGCCCAAAUCUCCGUCUGUCCCCGGUCACGGAUGCCCAGUUUUCUCCUUAUGUUGGUGGAAUGGCCUUCUCUCCUACUUCAUCACCCGGAUACAGCCCAUCAUCACCAGGCUACAGUCCGUCAUCUCCUGGAUACAGUCCCACGUCACCUGGAUACAGCCCAACUUCGCCUGGAUACAGUCCCACCUCGCCUGGAUAUAGCCCUACCUCACCAACUUAUAGUCCAAGUUCUCCUGGUUAUAGUCCAACCAGUCCUGCCUAUUCUCCUACCAGUCCAUCGUACUCACCUACUUCACCAAGCUAUAGCCCAACCUCCCCAAGUUACAGCCCAACAUCCCCAAGCUACAGCCCGACCUCUCCAAGUUACAGCCCCACUUCUCCCAGUUACAGUCCAACUUCACCAAGCUAUAGCCCCACCUCACCGGCAUAUAGCCCCACCUCACCUGCAUAUAGCCCCACCUCACCUGCAUACAGCCCCACUUCACCAUCGUACAGCCCAACCUCUCCUUCCUACAGCCCAACAUCACCUUCGUACAGCCCUACCUCACCGUCAUACAGCCCCACUUCUCCAUCGUACAGCCCCACUUCACCAGCCUAUAGCCCCACUUCUCCUGGUUAUAGUCCAACUUCACCAAGUUAUAGCCCAACUUCACCAACCUAUAGUCCUACAUCCCCAAGCUACAAUCCUCAGUCUGCCAAAUACAGUCCGUCGCUGGCCUACUCACCAAGUAGUCCAAGAUUAUCUCCUGCCAGUCCGUACAGCCCUACAUCUCCAAAUUACAGGUAAGCCAUAGUGCGAUAUGUGGUCAAGUCUAAUGUUUGUGUUAAAAGCUGUAUCCAAUUUAUUAGGUCUUGUUUUUGAUAGAAUUCUAUAUACUGAAAUAUCUGUUGAACCUAAGACUUGCUGUAGCUGGGGAUUGGACUUGGAUGGGUUUAAAUUAUUAAUGAUUUUAUCUCUGUUGUUUUUAACAUUAUUAUAUCUGGAUGAUUAUGUU
rnacentral:lncRNA from 1 species